rnacentral:rRNA from 1 species
UGAACGCUGGCGGCGUGCCUCAUACAUGCACGUCGAGCGAACGGACGAGAAGCUUGCUUUUCUGAUGUUAGCGGCGGACGGGUGAGUAACACGUGGAUAACCUACCUAUAAGACUGGGAUAACUUCGGGAAACCGGAGCUAAUACCGGAUAAUAUUUUGAACCGCAUGGUUCAAAAGUGAAAGACGGUCUUGCUGUCACUUAUAGAUGGAUCCGCGCUGCAUUAGCUAGUUGGUAAGGUAACGGCUUACCAAGGCAACGAUGCAUAGCCGACCUGAGAGGGUGAUCGGCCACACUGGAACUGAGACACGGUCCAGACUCCUACGGGAGGCAGCAGUAGGGAAUCUUCCGCAAUGGGCGAAAGCCUGACGGAGCAACGCCGCGUGAGUGAUGAAGGUCUUCGGAUCGUAAAACUCUGUUAUUAGGGAAGAACAUAUGUGUAAGUAACUGUGCACAUCUUGACGGUACCUAAUCAGAAAGCCACGGCUAACUACGUG